GUCUUUGAAAUACCACCCUGAAUAUGCUUUAAUUCUAACUUUGUCCCGUGAAUCCGGGCAAAGGACAGUUUCAGUUGGGCAGUUUGACUGGGGCGGUCUCCUCCAAAAGAGUAACGGAGGAGUGCAAAGGUACCCUCAGCCUGGUUGGCAAUCAGGCAUUGAGCGCAAUGGUAGAAGGGUGCUUAACUGCGAGAGUCAUCACUCGAGCAGGUACGAAAGUAGGUCAUAGUGAUCCGGUGGUUCUGUAUGGAAGGGCCAUCGCUCAACGGAUAAAAGGUACUCCGGGGAUAACAGGCUGAUACCGCCCAAGAGUUCAUAUCGACGGCGGUGUUUGGCACCUCGAUGUCGGCUCAUCACAUCCUGGGGCUGAAGCCGGUCCCAAGGGUAUGGCUGUUCGCCAUUUAAAGUGGUACGCGAGCUGGGUUUAGAACGUCGUGAGACAGUUCGGUCCCUAUCUGCCGUGGGCGUUUGAGAAUUGAGAGGGGUUGCUCCUAGUACGAGAGGACCGGAGUGAACGAACCGCUGGUGUUCGGGUUGUCAUGCCAAUGGCAUUGCCCGGUAGCUACGUUCGGACGGGAUAACCGCUGAAAGCAUCUAAGCGGGAAGCCCCCUUCAAGAUGAGACUUCCCUGAGGCCUUGCGCCUCCUGAAGGGCCCUUGAAGACUACAAGGUUGAUAGGCUGGGUGUGGAAGCACAGCAAUGUGUUGAGCUAACCAGUACUAAUUGCCCGU
rnacentral:rRNA from 13 species